rnacentral:rRNA from 1 species
GUAAACGAUGAAUGCUAGCUGUUAGCGAUAUACUGUUAGCGGCACAGAGAAAUCGUUAAGCAUUCCACCUGGGGAGUACGCCGGCAACGGUGAAACUCAAAGGAAUUGACGGGGGCCCGCACAAGCGGAGGAACAUGUGGUUUAAUUCGAUGAUACGCGAGGAACCUUACCCGGGCUUGAACGUAGGGAGACAGUUCUGGAAACAGAAUCUCUAGCAAUAGCUGCCUACGAGGUGCUGCAUGGUUGUCGUCAGCUCGUGCCGUGAGGUGUCGGCUUAAGUGCCAUAACGAGCGCAACCCACAUCGAUAGUUACUAACAGGUUAAGCUGAGGACUCUAUCGAGACUGCCAGCGUAAGCUGUGAGGAAGGUGUGGAUGACGUCAAAUCAGCACGGCCCUUACGUCCGGGGCGACACACGUGUUACAAUGGGAGGUACAAAGGGCAGCUACCUGGCGACAGGAUGCUAAUCUCUAAAACCUUUCUCAGUUCGGAUUGGAGUCUGCAACUCGACUCCAUGAAGCUGGAUUCGCUAGUAAUCGCGCAUCAGCCAUGGCGCGGUGAAUACGUUCCCGGGCCUUGUACACACCGCCCGUCAAGCCAUGGAAGCUGGGGGUACCUGAAGUAUGCAACCGCAAGGAGCGUCCUAGGGUAAAACCGGUAACUGGGGCU